CAGUAGCCGCGGUAAUACGUAGGUGGCAAGCGUUGUCCGGAAUUAUUGGGCGUAAAGGGCUCGCAGGCGGUUUCUUAAGUCUGAUGUGAAAGCCCCCGGCUCAACCGGGGAGGGUCAUUGGAAACUGGGAAACUUGAGUGCAGAAGAGGAGAGUGGAAUUCCACGUGUAGCGGUGAAAUGCGUAGAGAUGUGGAGGAACACCAGUGACGAAGGCGACUCUCUGGUCUGUAACUGACGCUGAGGAGCGAAAGCGUGGGGAGCGAACAGGAUUAGAUACCCGCGUAGUCCCUGUCUCUUAUAC
rnacentral:rRNA from 1 species